rnacentral:tRNA from 1 species
ACCUGGGUGGCUCAGUUGGUUGAGCAUCUGACUUCGGCUCAGGUCAUGAUCUCAUGGUUCGUGGGUUUGAGCCCCGCAUUGGGCU